rnacentral:rRNA from 1 species
AGAUUGAACGCUGGCGGCAGGCUUAACACAUGCAAGUCGAGCGGGGAAAAGUAGCUUGCUACUUAACCUAGCGGCGGACGGGUGAGUAAUGCUUAGGAAUCUGCCUAUUAGUGGGGGACAACAUCUCGAAAGGGAUGCUAAUACCGCAUACGUCCUACGGGAGAAAGCAGGGGACCUUCGGGCCUUGCGCUAAUAGAUGAGCCUAAGUCGGAUUAGCUAGUUGGUGGGGUAAAGGCCUACCAAGGCGACGAUCUGUAGCGGGUCUGAGAGGAUGAUCCGCCACACUGGGACUGAGACACGGCCCAGACUCCUACGGGAGGCAGCAGUGGGGAAUAUUGGACAAUGGGGGGAACCCUGAUCCAGCCAUGCCGCGUGUGUGAAGAAGGCCUUUUGGUUGUAAAGCACUUUAAGCGAGGAGGAGGCUACCGAGAUUAAUACUCUUGGAUAGUGGACGUUACUCGCAGAAUAAGCACCGGCUAACUCUGUGCCAGCAGCCGCGGUAAUACAGAGGGUGCAAGCGUUAAUCGGAUUUACUGGGCGUAAAGCGCGCGUAGGUGGCCAAUUAAGUCAAAUGUGAAAUCCCCGAGCUUAACUUGGGAAUUGCAUUCGAUACUGGUUGGCUAGAGUAUGGGAGAGGAUUGGUAGAAUUCCAGGUGUAGCGGUGAAAUGCGUAGAGAUCUGGAGGAAUACCGAUGGCGAAGGCAGCCAUCUGGCCUAAUACUGACACUGAGGUGCGAAAGCAUGGGGAGCAAACAGGAUUAGAUACCCUGGUAGUCCAUGCCGUAAACGAUGUCUACUAGCCGUUGGGGCCUUUGAGGCUUUAGUGGCGCAGCUAACGCGAUAAGUAGACCGCCUGGGGAGUACGGUCCCAAGACUAAAACU